CAGUCGCCGCGGGAAUACGUAGGUCCCGAGCGUUGUCCGGAUUUAUUGGGCGUAAAGCGAGCGCAGGCGGUUAGAUAAGUCUGAAGUUAAAGGCUGUGGCUUAACCAUAGUACGCUUUGGAAACUGUUUAACUUGAGUGCAGAAGGGGAGAGUGGAGUUCCAUGUGUAGCGGUGAAAUGCGUAGAUAUAUGGAGGAACACCGGUGGCGAAAGCGGCUCUCUGGUCUGUAACUGACGCUGAGGCUCGAAAGCGUGGGGAGCGAACAGGAUUAGAGACCCCAGUAGUCCCUGUCUCUUAUACC
rnacentral:rRNA from 1 species